rnacentral:lncRNA from 1 species
CGGCCGCUGCAGCCCGGCGGUGGCGAGGAGGGGGGCACAAAGCUGGCUGCGCUGCGAGGGAAGAAGACUGGAAGCAUGAGUUCAGACACCAGCCAAGCGGUGAUCACCACCCCUCCUCCUCCCAGCAUGCCUCACAAAGAGAGGUAUUUUGACCGAAUCAAUGAAAGUGACCCAGAAUACCUUCGAGAGAGGAACAUGUCUCCUGAUCUACGGCAGGACUUCAAUAUGAUGGAGCAGAGGAAGCGAGUCACUCAGAUCCUGCAGAGUCCUGUGAGCUGACGUAACCCUAAGCCUUCCUUCCUCUUUGGAGCCCUUGCUAGGAUGUAAUGAAAUAGUGGAAACUCCUCAGUAAAGAAGGGCUGGGAAAACGGUGAACUUCUGCUUAAAGACUGAGCGGACUCACGGAUAAGAGCUAAGGGAAACUUUAACAGUAGCGA